AGAAAACAUGUUUUAAUUUAAAACUUUUUUAGAAGCUGUUGUGUCUAUGCAAUAUUCAAAAAUUGCAACAGUAUCUAUAUGGCCAGGGUUUCAAUGUGAUCCAGGCUUUAAAUGGGAACUGUCACUUCUCAUCUUCUUGCAUUUGGCCACCUCCAUCUUAGCCUUCUAUCAGUCAUAGUAUUAGCUCUGUCCUAGCAGUAAAAGGGAAACUAUAGUGCUAGGAAAACCAAGUUUUUUUUCUAGCACUAUAAUGACC